ensembl:snoRNA small nucleolar RNA snR60/Z15/Z230/Z193/J17
CAGAUGCGGUGAUGAGUGCAUAGUUCAGCAGAUAAGCAAUGAAGAACAAUCGUGUCUUUCGCUCCUAACUGAUGCAUCAA